AGUGAACGCUGGCGGUAGGCCUAACACAUGCAAGUCGAACGGCAGCACAGUAAGAGCGUGCUCUUACGGGUGGCGAGUGGCGGACGGGUGAGGAAUACAUCGGAAUCUACUUUUUCGGGGGGGAUAACGUAGGGAAACUUACGCUAAUACAGCAUACGACCUACGGGGGAAAGCAGGGGAUCUUCGGAGCUGGCGGGGUUGAAUGAGCCGCUGUCGGAUUAGCUAGUGGGGGGGGGAAAGGCCAAGCAAGGCGCCGAUACGUAGCCGGUCUGAGAGGAUGGUAGCCCACCCUGGAACUGAACCACCGUCCAGACUCCUGCGGUAGGCAGCAGUGUGCAAUAUUGGACAAUGGUCGCAAGCCUUAUCCAGCCAUACCGCGUCUGUUAAGACGGCCUUCCGGUUGUAAAGCCCUUUUGUUGGUAAAGAACAGCAUCAGCUUAAUACCCCGCUGUUCUGACGGUACCCAAAGAAUAAGCACCGGCUAACUUCGUG
rnacentral:rRNA from 1 species